rnacentral:rRNA from 1 species
UUGUCNGCNGCUUAGACAUUGAUGCAACUCGAGCCAGACAAAUGGGAAGCUGGGCUACCUGAUGUUAGCGGCGGGACGAGUGAGUGAACACGUGAGUAACCCUGCCUGAAAGACUGGGAUAACUCCGGGGAAAACAGGCGCUAAGACCGGAUGAUGAUUGUUUGAACCGCAUGGUUCAAAAAUAAAAGGUGAUGCUUCGGGCCUACCACCUACAGAUGGACCCGAAGGCGCAUUUAGCUAAUUGGGGAGGGGUAACGGCUCACCAAAGCAACGAUGCGUUAGCCGACCUUGAGAGGGAGAAUCGCCCACACCGGGGACUGAGACACGGGCCCAGACUUCCUACGGGAGGCAGCAGUAGGGAAUCAUCCGCAAAGGACGAAAGUCUGACGGAACAACGCCGCGGGAGGGAUGAAAGUUUUCGCAUCGUAAAGCUCUGUUGUUAGGGAAGAACAAGCUACCGUUCGAAUAGGGCGAUACCGUGACGGUUACCUAACCAGAAUAAGCCACGGCUAACCUACGUGCCAGCAGCCCCGGUAAUACGUAGGUGGCAAGCGUUGUCCGGAAUUAUUGGGCGUAAAGGGCUCGCAGGCGGUUUCUUAAGUCCAAUGGGAAAACCCCCGGCCCAACCGGGGAGGGUCAUUGGAAACUGGGGAACCUGAGGGCAGAAGAAGAGAGUGGAAAUUCCACGUGUAGCCGGUGAAAAGCGGAGAAAAGUCGGAAGGAACACCAGUGGCGAAGGCGACUCUUCUGGUCCGUAAAUGACGCUGUAGGAGCGAAAGCCUUGGGGAGCCAACCAGGAUUAGAAAACCCUGGUAGUCUCACGCCGUAAACGAUCCAGCGCUAAGUCCUAAGGGCCUCUUCCGCCCCUUACUGCUGCAGCUAACAGCGAUUAAGCACUCCACCUGGGGAGUACGAUCGCAAGACUGAAACUCAAAGGAAUUGACGGGGCCCGCACAAGCGGUGGAGCAUGUGGUUUAAUUCGAAGCACGCGAAGAACCUUACCAGGUC